GGAGUCGAGUGAGGAUGGAGCAAUAGAUGAAGAGGUUACUCAUCGUGCGCAGCUGGCGCAUUAAAUGAUCCGCCUGAGUAGUACGUUCGCAAGAAUAAAACUUAAAGGAAUUGACGGGGACCCGCACAAGCGGUGGAGCAUGUGGUUUAAUUUGAAGAUACGCGUAGAACCUUACCCACUCUUGACAUCUUCUGCAAAGCUAUAGAGAUAUAGUGGAGGUUAACAGAGUGCAGGAUGGUGCAA
rnacentral:rRNA from 1 species